CCUACGGGUGGCAGCAGUGAGGAAUAUUGGUCAAUGGACGAGAGUCUGAACCAGCCAAGUAGCGUGAAGGAAGACUGCCCUAUGGGUUGUAAACUUCUUUUAUAAAGGGAUAAAACGAGGUACGUGUGCCUUUUUGCAAGUACCUUAUGAAUAAGGAUCGGCUAACUCCGUGCCAGCAGCCGCGGUAAUACGGAGGAUCCGAGCGUUAUCCGGAUUUAUUGGGUUUAAAGGGAGCGUAGGUGGGUUGUUAAGUUAGUUGGGAAAGUCGGGGGCUCAACCGUUAAAUUGCAUGUGAUACUGGCAGUCUAGAGUGUAGUUGAGGUAGGCGGAAUGCGUGGUGUAGCGGUGAAAUGCUUAGAUAUCACGCAGAACCCCGAUUGCGAAGGCAGCUUACUAAGCUAUUACUGACGUUGAGGCACGAAAGUGUGGGUAUCAAACAGGAUUAGAUACCCUUGUAGUC
rnacentral:rRNA from 1 species